GUGGAUUAGAUACCCUGGUAGUCCACGCCCUAAACGAUGAUAACUCGAUGUUGGCGAUAUACAGUCAGCGUCUUAGCGAAAGCGUUAAGUUAUCCACCUGGGGAGUACGCCCGCAAGGGUGAAACUCAAAGGAAUUGACGGGGGCCCGCACAAGCGGAGGAGCAUGUGGUUUAAUUCGAUGAUACGCGAGGAACCUUACCCGGGCUUGAAAGUUACUGAAUUAUCUAGAGAUAGAUAAGUCCUUCGGGACAGGAAACUAGGUGCUGCACGGUCGUCGUCAACU
rnacentral:rRNA from 1 species